rnacentral:tRNA from 1 species
GUGGUUGUGGCUCAGUGGUAGAGUGCUUGCCUAGCAUGUGUGAGGCACUGGGUUCGAUUCUCAGCACUACA